rnacentral:rRNA from 1 species
AUUGAACGCUGGCGGCAUGCUUUACACAUGCAAGUCGAACGGUAACAGGGAGCUUGCUCCGCUGACGAGUGGCGAACGGGUGAGUAAUGCGUCGGAACGUGCCGAGUAGUGGGGGAUAACGCAGCGAAAGUUGUGCUAAUACCGCAUACGUACUGAGGUAGAAAGUGGGGGACCUUCGGGCCUUACGCUAUUCGAGCGGCCGACGUCUGAUUAGCUAGUAGGUGAGGUAAAGGCUCACCUAGGCGACGAUCAGUAGCAGGUCUGAGAGGAUGAUCCGCCACACUGGGACUGAGACACGGCCCAGACUCCUACGGGAGGCAGCAGUGGGGAAUUUUGGACAAUGGGCGAAAGCCUGAUCCAGCCAUGCCGCGUGUCUGAAGAAGGCCUUCGGGUUGUAAAGGACUUUUGUCGGGGAGGAAAUCCCCAGCGUUAAUACCGCUGGGGGAUGACAGUACCUGAAGAAUAAGCACCGGCUAACUACGUGCCAGCCGCCGCUGUAAAAC